UUGGAAAUUGCAGAAGAAGAUAUUAAAUUUUUGUCAGGUUUCAGGUCAUUCUGUUGAGAUAAUAGGAAAAGCAAUUGAGAAAUGUUUGACUGAUUGGGGGAUCCACAGUGUUUUUUCCAUCACUGUAGAUAAUGCUAGCUCGAAUAACCUGAGAGUUCAAUACCUGAAAAAGAUACUUAACUCUUGGAACUCUCUGUUGUUAAGAGGUGAGUUACUCCAUAUGAGGUGUUAUGCCCAUAUAUUGAGUUUGAUUGUUAGAGAUGGGUUAAAAGAUAUAAACGAUUCAAUUGCUAGAAUACGUUCAGCCGUACGUUACGUGAGAUCUUCCCCUAGCAGACUAAGAAAGUUCAAGGCUUGUGUUGAGUUAGAGAAUAUUGAGUCGAAGAGCCUUGUAUGUUUGGAUGUGGAAACUCGUUGGAACUCAACAUAUUUGAUGUUGGAAUCAGCCUUAAAGUUUGAAAGAGCUUUUAGCAAUAUGGAAUUUCGGGAUAGCAAAUAUGCUCAAGAGCUUUCCAAGGGGAAAGGGUUGCCCACUAGUGAAGAUUGGAAUUAUGCACGUCGCUUUCUUCCAUUUUUGAAGUUGUUUUUUGAUACAACUAUAAAAGUUUCAGGUUCUUCUUAUGUCACUAGCAAUAAUAUGGCGAAGGACGUGUAUGGAAUUUAUAUGAUGAUUGAGAGAUAUCGUGGAAAUGAGGAGCAAAGCUUGCAAGAAAUGGCUCAAAGAAUGAAAACGAAAUUCCAUAAGUAUUUUGGCAAUGUAAACAACAUUAAUCUCACUUUAUUCAUUGCUUGCAUACUUGACCCACGACAUAAGUGGGAUUAUGUGAAGUGGAUGAUUGGUCAUGUUUAUGAAAGCAGGGAGACAUAAAUUUUACAAGAGAAAGUGAUGACAUCUUUGACAUUAUUGUUUGAACAAUAUCGCACGGGUACAUGCCCUCAAAGCAACUUGAGGCUAAAGAGCACAAGGAUGGUAAGCAUGUCAAGAUCCCCAGUAGUUGGUGCUGAUAUUAUGACUGAAAUGUAUUUUAGUCAAACUGGACAACAAUAUUUGGAUGAAAAAUCAGAAUUGGAUAAGUACUUAGAGGAGGCAUGUGAACGUUAUAACUCUGAAUUUGAUAUAUUAAGUUGGUGGAAAGGAAAUUCAUCGAGAUAUCCUAUACUUUCUACUGUUGCUCGAGAUAUUUUGGCUGUGCCCAUCUCGACUGUAGCAUCGGAGGCGGCAUUUAGCACGGGAGGUCGUGUGCUCGAUGUGUUUCGUAGUUCCUUGACCCCAAUCAUGGCGGAAGCUCUUAUAUGUGCUCAAGAUUGGUUACGCUCCGCACCACUUUUACGUUCAAUUGAGGAGGACUUAGAAGAUCUUGAAAUCUUUGAGUCGGAAUUGCCAAAUACGACCACGGAGUCAAGCUCAAUGUUGUCUUCUCUCGAUGAUUGACGUAUUAGAGCUUUGGACAGAAAAUGUUAUCUUUUCACUUGAAGAUCCCAUGUGGCCAAGAACAAGUCUUUGGUCUUUAGGGUGGAUUUGGCCACUACAGUGAGGUUCAAGAUCAUGGUUUGGAAGACCAAGAGGUAUAAGGUAAUAGUGGUGGGUGCUAAUGUGACUCUCAAUGAUCAGGCUGCUAAGAACACCGGCAAGAAGAACAAGGAUGUCAAAUUAAAGUCUAGGGUGGGUAAGAAUUUAGGGGGUUGUUGCUUUUGGCAGGUGGGGACUUCUGUUGUUGCUUUAGCUUUGAUUUUGCUUGACUAAGGGCUGAGUUGGACUCUCCCUUGUGUGAGGAAGGCUGAGAAUGAGAUUAAUUUUCUGGUAUUCCUGGAUAGUGGGCAGUGCUGGUUAGUGUUUGCAUUAGAAA